rnacentral:rRNA from 1 species
GACGAACGCUGGCGGCGUGCUUAACACAUGCAAGUCGAACGGAAAGGCCCUGCUUUUGUGGGGUGCUCGAGUGGCGAACGGGUGAGUCACACGUGAGUAACCUGCCCUUGACUUUGGGAUAACUUCAGGCAACUGGGGCUAAUACCGGAUAGGAGCUCCUGCUGCAUGGUGGGGGUUGGAAAGUUUCGGCGGUUGGGGAUGGACUCGCGGCUUAUCAGCUUGUUGGUGGGGUAGUGGCUUACCAAGGCUUUGACUGGUAGCCGACAUGGGAGGGUGACCGGCGACAAGGGGACUGAGAGACGGCGCAGACUCCAACGGGAGGCAGCAGUGGGGAAUAUGGCACAAUGGGGGGAAGCGUGAGGCAGAAACGCCGCGUGCGGAAUGACGGCCUUCGGGUGGUAAACCGCUGUCGCCUGAGACGAAGCGUGAGUGACGGUAAUGGGUAAAGAAGCACCGGCUAACUACGUG